rnacentral:rRNA from 1 species
CUACGGGCGGCUGCAGUGGGGAAUAUUGCACAAUGGGCGCAAGCCUGAUGCAGCCAUGCCGCGUGUGUGAAGAAGGCCUUCGGGUUGUAAAGCACUUUCAGCGGGGAGGAAGGCGUUAAGGUUAAUAACCUUGUCGAUUGACGUUACCCGCAGAAGAAGCACCGGCUAACUCCGUGCCAGCAGCCGCGGUAAUACGGAGGGUGCAAGCGUUAAUCGGAAUUACUGGGCGUAAAGCGCACGCAGGCGGUCUGUCAAGUCGGAUGUGAAAUCCCCGGGCUCAACCUGGGAACUGCAUUCGAAACUGGCAGGCUAGAGUCUUGUAGAGGGGGGUAGAAUUCCAGGUGUAGCGGUGAAAUGCGUAGAGAUCUGGAGGAAUACCGGUGGCGAAGGCGGCCCCCUGGACAAAGACUGACGCUCAGGUGCGAAAGCAUGGGGAGCAAACAGGAUUAAUACCCAGUAGUC